AUACGGAGGGUCCAGGCGUUAUCCGGAUUCAUUGGGUUUAAAGGGUCCGCAGGCGGGAAAAUAAGUCAGUGGUGAAAGCCUACAGCUCAACUGUAGAACUGCCAUUGAAACUGUUUUUCUUGAGUAUAGAUGAAGUGGGCGGAAUAUAUCAUGUAGCGGUGAAAUGAAUAGAUAUGAUAUAGAACACCGAUUGCGAAGGCAGCUCACUAAACUAUUACUGACGCUCAGGGACGAAAGCGUGGGGAGCGAACAGGAUUAGAUACCCUAGUAGUCC
rnacentral:rRNA from 1 species